rnacentral:ncRNA from 2 species
CUCUUAUCAAGAGUGGUGGAGGGACUGGCCCGAUGAAGCCCGGCAACCAUCCUUGGCUAUAGCCAGGGAAGUGGUGCCAACUCCUGCAAUGUUGCAAUGACAUUGAAAGAUAAGAG